rnacentral:rRNA from 1 species
CAGUAACGGCGAGUGAAGCGGUAACAGCUCAAAUUUGAAAGCUAGCUCUUUUAGGGUUCGCAUUGUAAUUUGUAGAAGAUGCUUCGGGUGUGGCCCCGGUCUAAGUUCCUUGGAACAGGACGUCAUAGAGGGUGAGAAUCCCGUAUGUGACUGGGUGCUUUCGUCUCAUGUGAAGCUCUUUCGACGAGUCGAGUUGUUUGGGAAUGCAGCUCAAAAUGGGUGGUAAAUUUCAUCUAAAGCUAAAUAUUGGCCAGAGACCGAUAGCGCACAAGUAGAGUGAUCGAAAGAUGAAAAGCACUUUGGAAAGAGAGUUAAACAGUACGUGAAAUUGUUGAAAGGGAAGCGCUUGCAACCAGACUUGCGCGCUGAUGAUCAUCCGGGCUUCUGCCCGGUGCACUCGUCUGCGCUCAGGCCAGCAUCGGUUUCGGUGGUGGGAUAAAGGCCUUGGGAAUGUAGCUUCUUUCGGGGAGUGUUAUAGCCCUCGGUGCAAUGCCGCCUACCGGGACUGAGGACCGCGCUUCGGCUAGGAUGCUGGCGUAAUGGUUGUAAGCGACCCGUCUUGAAACACGGACCAAGGAGUCUAACAUCUAUG